AAGAUGAACUAUUUCCAUGGAGGGGCUCUUCAUAGCUUAACGGACUUCAUAUAAUACCAUUCCUGGAAGGGGGAAUCGUAGACUUUAAAGGUGAAAGAGCCCUAAUAGGUGGCAUAGGCCAGUGCUGGACUGCCCCAUUGUGUAUCUGCUCCUAUGUCCUAUCUAGUACCUACAAUCCCUCUCCAAUGAGACUCUAAAUCUAUCUGUAUACACACCUAGUAACUGGAAAGAGCAGGGUGGGUUCAAGCCCUUGCAUUGGAAAACCAGAGAGGAAAUCUUUUGGUUGCAAUUUUCAUAGACAUUCUAAAAGCGAAACAAGCCUGAAAUUCACACUCAUGGAAACUGCACUUGGUUCCCCCUCUUUCAGCUCCCCAACUCUCUCCUUAUCUCUGGACUGGAGAAGUCGGGGGGGGGGGGGAGGGAUGUCCCACAACCUUGGCAAUCCCUCUCUUUUGCCCUUGAAGUUCUGAGCACCAGUAGUUCUCAAGCUGCCUUUCUCCUGCUCUCACACACGCUUGCACUCCCCACGAGGUUGCAUUCCCCUUUAAAAGUCCCAGCACAUGCUGAUCUGCGGAGCUCCUGCAGGCUGUGUUGCGGCACUGGGGAACUCUGCUGAGCUGUGCAGUUUGAGCUGCCAGAGAUCCCGAACAAUGUCAUUGUGAUCAGAAGGCACUGCAGCACUCAACUUUCCCUGGCGCUCUCCUCUUCGCUCUCCUUCACCGCCAGCUUUCCCAGGGCACAAGGCAGGCAGAGCAAAGCAAGAUUAGGAAGUGGCUUCACUUGGGCUUGUCUGGGCUUGUUCAGGCCUCAGCCUGCCUCUGUCGGUGAUCAGAAGGAUCAGGGUGGCUCUAAAGGAAACUUGCCUCAUAUAGCUUUGCAGCCACUGUGCUGGGCUGGGAGCUUCGGAAAAGCCAGUCACAGAAAUCUACUGCCCUUCUGCUUGAUCCUCUGUGCAGCAGCGGUACCUGCUCCAUCAGCUUGCCCCGAUAUUUCUUUGGAAGCUGAAUCUCUGGGAAUAAUCGUGUCCGUGCCUUGUGAUCCGAUGCCACUUGUGACUAAAUGCUGACGUCCCUGUCAUUCUGAGCCCUGGCUAGCUGAAACCUUCCAAUAUCGGUCACGCCCUGUAUGGCCUACCUGUUUAUCCCAAGGUUUCAGGUGUCUAUGCAAACCUCCAGUGGGAUUCUGUGGUAUCUAGGUGGCUAUUAGAUGACAUAGGAGAUGAGUGCGCAUAGGAAAGGCUUAGAGCAGACAAGAAUUCAAAAGACAUCAGGACCCAUUUCAGACCAGAUGCAAGAGAGCGUCACUCUGUUGAAACCAACUGGAGUUACCUCAGUGCUGCAUGGGCUCUGAAUGCUCAUUAGAUGCUAAUUCAGACUCUUUUCCUGGCCUCUCUCUGAGUUGUUCCAUUGGACCCAAAACCCAUUGGAGCUGAUUGUGCAGAUAUUUCUGCAGAGGGUCCUUCCUCUGGGAUUUGGGAGGCAUCUCCAGUACCACCCUCUGCCUAAGUUCUUAUAAUGCUGAUCCUGGCACUGCCCAAAAAACCUGCUUUAUUCAUCUUAUUAAAGAUCUCUUGGGGGAUCCUUUUGCUAUUUCUUCCCCCCCAUGCUGUUAUUUCUAAUGUUGGAUCUAAAAUCUGUUUCUCCUGAAGUAAACGGUUUCACCCCUUCCCUCCAUGUCACUUGUACCUGCACAAACUGGUUUGUUAUUGUAGGGUUUCUCUGCGGUGUUGUACUAUACACACUGGUGGGUUUGUGAGGUUUCUCCCAGAGGCAGGCCAAUCUGGAUGUAGGUUUAUUGUAGAGCUGAUCCCUGUUUGUAGGGGGAGGAGUGAGGUAGGUUGGGGUUUGUUUGUUUUUGUUGGUGGUUUGGUUUGGUUUGGUUUGGGUAAAUUUGUUUGGUUUGGUAUGUGUAAAAUUGGUUUGGGUAAAUAAAAGGAGAAAAAAAUUCA
rnacentral:lncRNA from 1 species